rnacentral:rRNA from 1 species
AGUGAACGCUGGCGGUAGGCCUAACACAUGCAAGUCGAACGGCAGCACAGUAAGAGCUUGCUCUUACGGGUGGCGAGUGGCGGACGGGUGAGGAAUACAUCGGAAUCUACUUUUUCGUGGGGGAUAACGUAGGGAAACUUACGCUAAUACCGCAUACGACCUACGGGUGAAAGCAGGGGAUCUUCGGACCUUGCGCGAUUGAAUGAGCCGAUGUCGUAUUAGCUAGUUGGCGGGGUAAAGGCCCACCAAGGCGACGAUCCGUAGCUGGUCUGAGAGGAUGAUCAGCCACACUGGAACUGAGACACGGUCCAGUCUCCUACGGGAGGCAGCAGUGGGGAAUAUUGGACAAAGGGCGCAAGCCUGAUCCAGCCAUACCGCGUGGGUGAAGAAGGCCUUCGGGUUGUAAAGCCCUUUUGUUGGGAAAGAAAAGCAGCAGGUUAAUACCCCGCUGUUCUGACGGUACCCAAAGAAUAAGCACCGGCUAACUUCGUG